GAAUACUAAGGCGAUCGAGUGAACUGUGGUUAAGGAACUCGGCAAAUUGCCCCCGUAACUUCGGGAGAAGGGGGACCACGACCGGUGAUGGGUCUUGCACUCUGAGCUGGUGGUGGUCGCAGAGACCAGAGAGAAGCGACUGUUUACUAAAAACACAGGUCCGUGCGAAGUCGUAAGACGAUGUAUACGGACUGACGCCUGCCCGGUGCUGGAAGGUUAAGAGGACCGGUUAAUCAUCUUUCGGGGUGGUGAAGCUGAGAAUUUAAGCCCCAGUAAACGGCGGUGGUAACUAUAACCAUCCUAAGGUAGCGAAAUUCCUUGUCGGGUAAGUUCCGACCUGCACGAAUGGCGUAACGACUUCUCUGCUGUCUCAACCACAGGCUCGGCGAAAUUGCAGUACGAGUAAAGAUGCUCGUUACGCGCGGCAGGACGAAAAGACCCCGGGACCUUCACUAUAGCUUGGUAUUGGUGUUCGGUGCGGUUUGUGUAGGAUAGGUGGGAGACUGUGAAGCCGGCACGCUAGUGUGGGUGGAGUCGUUGUUGAAAUACCACUCUGAUCGUAUUGGGCUUCUAACCUCGGACCCUGAUCGGGUUCAGGGACAGUGCCUGGUGGGUAGUUUAACUGGGGCGGUUGCCUCCUAAAGUGUAACGGAGGCGCCCAAAGGUUCCCUCAGCCUGGAUGGCAAUCAGGUGUUGAGUGUAAGUGCACAAGGGAGCUUGACUGUGAGACGUACAUGUCGAGCAGGGACGAAAGUCGGGACUAGUGAUCCGGCACCGGCAUGUGGAAGCGGUGUCGCUCAACGGAUAAAAGGUACCCCGGGGAUAACAGGCUGAUCUUCCCCAAGAGUCCAUAUCGACGGGAUGGUUUGGCACCUCGAUGUCGGCUCGUCGCAUCCUGGGGCUGGAGUAGGUCCCAAGGGUUGGGCUGUUCGCCCAUUAAAGCGGCACGCGAGCUGGGUUUAGAACGUCGUGAGACAGUUCGGUCUCUAUCCGCCGCGCGCGUGUAGAAACUUGAGGAAACCUGUCCCUAGUACGAGAGGACCGGGACGGACGAACCUCUGGUGUGCCAGUUGUUCCGCCAGGAGCACUGCUGGUUAGCUACGUUCGGAAGGGAUAACCGCUGAAAGCAUCUAAGCGGGAAGCCUGUUCCAAGAUGAGGUUUCUCACCCACCUUCGGGUGGGGUAAGGCCCCCUACAGAUGAUGGGGUUGAUAGGCCGGAACUGUACGCACAGUAAUGUGUUCAGGUGACCGGUACUAAUCGGCCGAGGACUUACCAACAACAC
rnacentral:rRNA from 1 species